AGAGUUUGAUCAUGGCUCAGAUUGAACGCUGGCGGCAGGCCUAACACAUGCAAGUCGAGCGGUAGCACAGAGAGCUUGCUCUCGGGUGACGAGCGGCGGACGGGUGAGUAAUGUCUGGGAAACUGCCUGAUGGAGGGGGAUAACUACUGGAAACGGUAGCUAAUACCGCAUAACGUCGCAAGACCAAAGAGGGGGACCUUCGGGCCUCUUGCCAUCGGAUGUGCCCAGAUGGGAUUAGCUAGUAGGUGGGGUAACGGCUCACCUAGGCGACGAUCCCUAGCUGGUCUGAGAGGAUGACCAGCCACACUGGAACUGAGACACGGUCCAGACUCCUACGGGAGGCAGCAGUGGGGAAUAUUGCACAAUGGGCGCAAGCCUGAUGCAGCCAUGCCGCGUGUAUGAAGAAGGCCUUCGGGUUGUAAAGUACUUUCAGCGGGGAGGAAGGGAGUAAAGUUAAUACCUUUGCUCAUUGACGUUACCCGCAGAAGAAGCACCGGCUAACUCCGUGCCAGCAGCCGCGGUAAUACGGAGGGUGCAAGCGUUAAUCGGAAUUACUGGGCGUAAAGCGCACGCAGGCGGUCUGUCAAGUCGGAUGUGAAAUCCCCGGGCUCAACCUGGGAACUGCAUUCGAAACUGGCAGGCUAGAGUCUUGUAGAGGGGGGUAGAAUUCCAGGUGUAGCGGUGAAAUGCGUAGAGAUCUGGAGGAAUACCGGUGGCGAAGGCGGCCCCCUGGACGAAGACUGACGCUCAGGUGCGAAAGCGUGGGGAGCAAACAGGAUUAGAUACCCUGGUAGUCCACGCCGUAAACGAUGUCGAUUUGGAGGUUGUGCCCUUGAGGCGUGGCUUCCGGAGCUAACGCGUUAAAUCGACCGCCUGGGGAGUACGGCCGCAAGGUUAAAACUCAAAUGAAUUGACGGGGGCCCGCACAAGCGGUGGAGCAUGUGGUUUAAUUCGAUGCAACGCGAAGAACCUUACCUGGUCUUGACAUCCACGGAAGUUUUCAGAGAUGAGAAUGUGCCUUCGGGAACCGUGAGACAGGUGCUGCAUGGCUGUCGUCAGCUCGUGUUGUGAAAUGUUGGGUUAAGUCCCGCAACGAGCGCAACCCUUAUCCUUUGUUGCCAGCGAUUCGGUCGGGAACUCAAAGGAGACUGCCGGUGAUAAACCGGAGGAAGGUGGGGAUGACGUCAAGUCAUCAUGGCCCUUACGAGUAGGGCUACACACGUGCUACAAUGGCGUAUACAGAGGGAAGCGAGAGUGCGAGCUGGAGCGAAUCUCACAAAGUACGUCUAAGUCCGGAUUGGAGUCUGCAACUCGACUCCAUGAAGUCGGAAUCGCUAGUAAUCGUGGAUCAGCAUGCCACGGUGAAUACGUUCCCGGGCCUUGUACACACCGCCCGUCACACCAUGGGAGUGGGUUGCAAAAGAAGUAGGUAGCUUAACCUUCGGGAGGGCGCUUACCACUUUGUGAUUCAUGACUGGGGUGAAGUCGUAACAAGGUAACCGUAGGGGAACCUGCGGUUG
rnacentral:rRNA from 1 species